rnacentral:lncRNA from 1 species
GGGAGAGGGGGCGGGAGGGUCUGGCUGCGGAGAGGCCUGCGGAGGGAGCCCGCGCCUGGUCGGCGAGGGCGGACGGACGGACAGACCGCCGGCCGCGGCCCCUGACGCACGCUGCGCCCGGGCCCCCUCCCGGGCGGCGGGGGUGGCGGUGUCUGCGCGCACACGCUCGCUCACAGACACACACACUCACACGGGCCACGCCAUAGACACACGACACGCACCGAGCCACGGCCGGGCGCCGCGCACACUCGCACCCGCGCUCACACUCACUCACGCGCAGGCCCCGCGGCCGCGGUUGCCGGAGGCGGCGCUCAGCCCGGAUCCCGGCUGGGGCUGGAGAAGGAGAGGACUUGGGUGAGGAGCUGCCGCUGAGCUGGGCCAGGACCUGAGACCCCACUGCUACCGCUGCUGCCGCCGCCACUGCCUUGGGGACCUCCCUGAGACCAGGCCAGGGACAGAGCCUCGCUGGCCGGAGGGGCCCCCGUUGCCCACAGACGUCUGGAACAAGGUGACAGAUGGGUCUCUUCCUUCCCACCCUCGUCUCUCGCGCUCCCUCUCGGAGCUCCGCUCUCCAGCCUCUCGCGGGAAUCUUCUGAAGUUCUGGACUCAGGACCCGAGGAGGAAGAGGAGGAGGAGGGAGAGGAAGUUAGGCCCUGAGAACCUGUGCACCUUCCCGUCAGGAGAGCAGCAGCGCAGGGACGCAGGCUGUGGGGCCCGCCGCCCCCCUGGCCCAGGCCUGGCCGCAGUGCCCGGCGCCUGCCAGUAGCGCCCUGCCAGCCUCACUGGGGGCCCCCGGGCUGGGGGUCGCCCCCAAGAUGGUGGCGGCCCCAGGAAGGACUGUGCUGCCAGCCCCAGCCUCUGGCUGCUAGGCCCUCCGCACCCCGGCCCCUCACGCCCAGCCCGGCCCGCGAGG